CGGGACGGGUGAGUAACGCGUGGGUAACCUGCCUCAUACAGGGGGAUAACAGUUAGAAAUGACUGCUAAUACCGCAUAAGACCACAGCACCGCAUGGUGCAGGGGUAAAAACUCCGGUGGUAUGAGAUGGACCCGCGUCUGAUUAGCUAGUUGGUGAGGUAACGGCCCACCAAGGCGACGAUCAGUAGCCGACCUGAGAGGGUGACCGGCCACAUUGGGACUGAGACACGGCCCAG
rnacentral:rRNA from 1 species